GACGAGGAGCUCACGAGGCCGAACACCGGCCUCGUCCUGGCAGCUCAGCGUCCGCGGUCGCUGACGCUCGGCAAAUUUGGAACCAUCGGCCGUAGUUCUUUCCUGAACACGCUGGCGUUCAUGAUGUCGUAUGUGGUGACGACCAUCCAGUUCUACUACGCCGCGCCUCC